rnacentral:rRNA from 1 species
GACGAACGCUGGCGGCGUGCUUAACACAUGCAAGUCGAACGGAAAGGCCCUGCGUUUGUGGGGUGCUCGAGUGGCGAACGGGGGAGUGACACGUGAGUAACCUGCCCUUGACUUUGGGAUAAAUUCAGGAAACUGGGGCUAAUACCGGAUAGGAGCUCCUGCAGCAUGGGGGGGGUUGGAAAGUGUCGGCGGUUGGGGAUGGACUGGCGGCUUAUCAGCUUGUUGGUGGGGUAGUGGAGGACCAAGGCUGUGGCGGGUACGCGGCCUGGGAGGGUUGCCGGCCACCUUGGGCCUGCGAUACGGCCCAGUCUCCUACGGGCGGCAGCAGUGGGAAAUCUGGCACAAUGGGCGGAAGCCUGAGGCAGCAACCCUGCGUUCGUGAUGACGGCCUUCGGGUUGUAAACCGCUUUCGCCUGUGACGAAGCGUGAGUGACGGUAAUUAGUAAAGAAGCACCGGCUAACUACGUG